CAGAAAAAAAAUGUUUGCAAGUGAUUGCAAAAGUAGGAUGUAAUGCAACUAUAAUGUAGUUUCAAGGAUGAUAAGAUUGUUCUACGACACACUUAUUUAGAGAAAAAAAAACUUCAUAUCAUGGUUUAAAAUAUCACCUCUUGCCAUUAGGUUUGUCUUACAACUUCUUUAGCAAGCCAGCCGGAAAAUAAAUUUUGUGGUAUGCUCGAUGGGACAGUACGAAGCGAACACACCCAUUCAUGUGUCAUGAUGCGAUAGGAUAACAACAAAUUCAAUUUGACGAAAAAACUAGAAUGAUCCUAUUGCAUAAGGUUUAAAAUCUUAUUUCACGAUUCCCACUUUUUGCUUAAAAAUUGGAAUAGAUUGAAAUGAGAAUUGGAAUGGCUAUAUUUCUCAUGUAUUUAGUUCGCGACUGAAACCGAAACCGAAAUCAGAAUGAGAUUAGCUAGGGGAGAGUUGGAAUUAGAUUUUGGGAGAUUGGGGCAUUUCUGCUUUUAUAGAAUUGAAAUAGAAUGUGAGUCCUCCAAUCAAGCAAUUGAAACGGAAGUCACUUAUUCUCAUUUCUAGUUCAGGGAGCAUAACUCUUCCUAACCAAAAAUGCCCUAAAGAUAGUGGAUUCACUCAAGGACCAGAAAUUCCUUAAGAAACUUAGUCGCCAGUG
rnacentral:lncRNA from 1 species